rnacentral:ncRNA from 1 species
CCGAAAAAUGGGGAUGGGGUUCCCCCGAAACCGCCCACGCUCAGUACGAGUAUCGGGCUGAUGACUCCUGCCAGGCG